rnacentral:rRNA from 1 species
GGAAAGUUGCAAAGUACUUUGAAGAGAGAGUUCAAGAGGACGUGAAACCGAUAGGAUGGAAGCAGAUGAAGUUGACGAACGAGUGUCGUAUUCAGAAUCGCUUUCUGCGGUUUGUUUUUACGGCCGAUGUGGGCUGGCGGCUUUGGUCAAUGCAAUGCGUCUAGCGGCGAUGGUGACCCUGCGGAGGGACAAUCACUCGUCGUACGGUGCUUGGUAUGGCUAAGGUUUCGCCGGUCUUAAAGUCAGCGCCUCAUCUGACCCGUCUUGAAACACGGACCAAGGAGUGUAGCGUUUGCGCAAGUCUUAGAGUGUAUCGAAACUUUGAGGCGAAACGAAAGUAAAUGCAGUUUAAUCUGCUGACUUGGGAUGCGUUGUCUCUUGUGGAUGGCGCUGGACCAAGGUUUUAUCGCGAUCGCUUGCGGUGCGGUGAAAAUAGAGCGUAAACGGUGCGACCCGAAA